AGCAGCUGCAGGACCUGAUGCGACCAGUAGAAAGGCAAGCCUCGAUGCAGCUGUGGCUCCAGCGUGGCUGGUGUUCAGGCUGUGAAGAGCAAUCUGUGUGGAGCAGUUGGGCUUGGGAAGGAUGCCUGCAAAACUCUUCGGGAAGACUUGUUUUGGAGUGCUGAGUAUCGAUGAGCUGGUGAAUUGUUUCUGAUGAGCUUAUUGCUGCCAAAGGUUUUGACUGUCAUCUGGGAGUCAGUGGGACGAUAUUAUUCUAUUUCCUUCUGGGUCUCGAUCAAUCAGGGUGGACAGAAGAAGCAAAAAAAAAUGAGAAAGGACAUGCAGAAAUCCAAGAAGGCGAUCAGGUAGUUAAUACAUAAGUUUACACCAAGAAAACGGGGGAGAGCCAAGACAGAAGAGUGUAGCUCUGGAUUCCUUCCAGAGAUCUCUGAAGACCAGGAAUGCUUUUGCUGUUCGUUUACACAACUCUACCUGGGUUCUUGCCAGGAAAGGAGCAGGCAGAGGAGGGUGUGUGUGUGUUUGUCUUUCCCUCCUCAAUAUGAAAUAAUGUCUUCUUUCCUCUGCCAUUUCCACUGCUUGUGGCCAUGUCUGUUUGCAAAGUUACCAUCUGCCCCAUGAAGUGAGCUUGUCUGAAUCACGAGUUUGCAGGGAUGGGCUGCUGCAGAACACUUAUUUUUCUUUUGCCUUUUGUUAAUUGUUUACCUUUCAGUGCCCAUGAAGAAAUGCCCUAAAUAUGGCUUUUGUUUUUGUAGUGGCAAUGUCUUGAAUUGGCCUCUUCUGAUUCUCAUUUGUGUAUGUCUAUGGAGUGCAUUUAAUUUUCCUCUUUUUAGUAGCCUUUAGCAGGGUUGAGACUGCACUUAAGAACUAAAGGCCCUUUGAAAGUGAUUGUGUCAUCAUACAAAUAAUCCCGAACGUGUCUAGUAACUAUUUAAAACAAAAGGGUUCAUGGUACAUUUGUGAAGUUAAGGGGGAGGGGGGGAACAAGAACACUGGUUUUGGGAUGCAUAAAGCCUUUUUCACACAAGCUGAUAUUGUUGAAGUGAUCUUUUUACAGCUUCCCAGUGGUCUUUAAGUCCUCGCAGGGUUUGGGGACAGGGGGAUACAGGCCGGGGAGUCUUGUUCCUCUGUUUCAGUGAAUGCUCGUGUGUCACACCUCAGAGAAGGGACAGCUUUACCUCAUAGCAGCUUGCCAUAUGUGGCUGACAACGUCACGACUUGCACUGCUGUCUGUGCACAACGAGAGCAGACACACUCAGUGCCACACCUUCCCUCCAGCUCACGUUGCUCUGGGCCGCCAUCACCUGCACCCUGUGAGGACAGGCCUGGGCAGGCAGUGGUGCUGUGGCUGGGCUCCAGGGGCAGCUCCUGGCAGGGAACAGCCCCAUCAGGCUGCCCCACACGUCACAGGGACUUGCACGUCAUGGCCUGUGUUGGGUCUGGCCCUGUUCUCCGCUUCCCGUUGCUUCAUGACCCAGUGUAGCAAGGACUUGCCUUCUGCCUCCGCUCGCCAAUGUUGUUUAUGUGCUGAGCGCUUGUGAAAGAAAAGAGCUAUGCACAACCAGAGGGCACUGUGUUCAGUUUUGGGCCCCCUAAUUAAAAUACAGGUACCUGAGUUGCUGGAAUGUGCUCAGAGAAGAACAACAGAGCUGAUGAAGGGACAAGAAAACAACACUAGAGGGACCUGGGGCUGUGCAGUCUGGAGAGCAGCAGGCUGAGGGGACACCUCGCUGCUCUCCACAACUACCUGAAAGGAGCUUGCUGCAAGGAGGGUGUUGGCCUCUUUUCUCAGAUGACAAGUGAUAAGAUGCAAGGAAAUGGCACCAGUUGCACCAGGGGAAGUUUAGAUUGGACUUCUAGGAACAAUUUCCUCACAGAGAGCGUGGUCAAGCAUUGGAAGAGUCUGCCCAGGGAAGUGGUGGAGUCUCCAUGCCUGGAGGUAUUUAAUAGAUGUGUGGACAUAGAGAGAUUAGAUUACCAACGGUACAACUGCCACCAAAAUUCUGCUGGACAGACUGCAGUGCAGAAAUUGUUGCCCUAAUCAUUGCUGCUCAAGUUAAUUGCCAUUAACUAAUUUGACAUUCAGCAUCUCUUUAAAAGGAAGUAAGCUUCAAAAUAUUGAUUUGUAACGUGAGAUGACAAACAGCACCACCAGAUAUGUGAAAAUCAUCAGGAAAAAUGUCUCCAUGAAUAUUAAGACCUUUAUGAAUGGUUCUCAUAGACAAUGCUAAGUUCCACACAUUUACUUUGCUAGAAACUAUAUUGGAAGCACAACUGGAUUGAUCUCGGCUCCACAGCAUGGGCCCAGCUGAGACCUGGAAAUUGUGCUCUUCUGAGAGCAAGGACAGCUGCUUCUGCUAUCAGCCACACCUCGUCAUUAGUGCAGCUGUGACCGUAAGGUGUUGAGGUUUACUUAGUGAUAGCAGUGUUUAACGUCAUGUACAUCACUUCUGAGUCAGAAGUUCAGCACCACGGGCAAGUAUUCUUGUGUUUCCAUGGAGGAGCACCUACCGUGACACCAGAUUGUUAAAAGUGUAAAAGAAAGAGGAAUUAAGGGAGGAGAGAACUGGGAGGAAGGAAAGCACUUUGAAUUUAUUCCCUGUAUUACAGACGUUUGUAAAAUAUCCAGUGCUUGAACCCUGAGUAUGUGGUCAGAAUUUCCUCUCACUUUUGUAUGACCUACUGAGCAAACAUUGGCUUGUUGACGUAUAAUAGCUGCCUUCAAACAGGAUAUUAUUCAGCACUCUAAUAUAAUCUAAAAUCUAUUUCAAAUAGCCAGGUUAAUCCCCAUCACCUGUGAAUGGAGAAUAAAAAAUAAAUUAUUCACAACCCAUUCCUUCCUAGUAAAUUCCCAAAGAUUUAACGCUGGCUGGAAUCAAUUAAACUGCUGUGCUGUUCCUUUAGGGUCUUAAGUAUUUAACUUCUCAGUUUGGACUUAAACAUGGACAGUGGCAUGCUUUUCCUGGUAUGAAUUCACAGCAAGCUGUGUUUUUUAAGGUGUUUUGGACCAAUAAUGACUCAUUUAGAAAAUAAAUCUGUUAAAGGCAGAAAUGAGAAAAUA